CCGCGGCCGCCCCUGGAGCGCGCGCGGCCACCGCCUGGAGCGCGGACAACGGGCGCGCGACGAGGCCAUCACGCGCGGGAUAGCAACGGCGACGGUGCUCUGGAGCUUGUGGCAGCGCGCGGGGUGACUACGGUGAACGGACUGCAUCACGUGGUAGAGAGGGACGGCGACAGCAAGGUCCCCAGCUGUGACCCCGGGCGGCGUUCCUCGAACUGUGACGGCAAGGUCCUCCACGAGACUCGAUCCGCAGGCACAUAGCCCUCAGCAACCUCCAUGCUAGGCGUGGUUGUGGAUCCACCACACGCCGUGGCGGGCCUCGCCGGCUCGCCCUCACCAAGUCACCAGCCACGGCAUGGCUCGCGCACCACCGACGAUGGUGGCCUGCCCAGCGCGGACAGUGCCUCCCGACGAUGGUGUUACUGGCUCGGUAUGGAUCUUUCCUCCUGUGAGAUUUCCUGUCCUGCAUUUCUGUUAUAUGCAUCUUUCUCCCUCUCUCAGUUUUUCUCUUUCCAUCCUUUUGGCCACAGAUCGGCAGAUCUGCGAGGUCGUCAAACAGCUAGCUAAGGAGGCCACGACGGUGGUAGAGCAUUCUGCGCGUCCUCAUUUUCUACGCGUCUCAUUUUCUACGCGUCCUCACUACUAUUCCCAGAUCCAGACUGGCAGCGGCUGCGGUGGCCAAUGAAGCACCAGCGGCGGAUCCUUGCGAGAAGGCUGAUAGGCUCGUGAAUGGCAUACAGAGAUGAUGCAGUCCAUGGCUGCGGUGCUAGUAUGAAGCAUCGGUGGCGGUUGGUGGCGUGUAGUUCACGGCGGCGGCGCUAGUGCGAAUCAGUGAUGGUGGUCGGUUCGAUGGAAGAUAGCAAAGGAGCAGCAUGACGCGGCCAAGGAUUUUUUGCAUUUUGUUCGUUGAAUUUAGUGUUCUUAUGCUUGUGUGCAUAAGUUUCUAUACACAGAAUGGAGCACUUCUAUGCAUUUUUGUAUUCUUAAUGCUUGUGAGCAUAAGUUUCUAUACAUUGUUGGAGCAGGUCUAUGUUGUCUCUAUGCGACAAUAAAUUCACUUUUUAUUCAUCAAAUUACUAAAUUCUAUGUAA